rnacentral:rRNA from 1 species
AACGUAGGGGACAAGCGUUAUCCGGAUUUACUGGGCGUAAAGCGCCCGUAGGCGGCCUGACAAGUUGGACGUGAAAGCUCCUGGCUUAACUGGGAGAGGCCGUUCAAAACUGUCAAGCUAGAGUCUGGAAGAGGAGAGCGGAAUUCCCGGUGUAGUGGUGGAAUGCGUAGAGAUCGGGAGGAACACCAGUGGCGAAGGCGGUCUGCUGGGCAGUUGCUGGACACUGAGGCGCGACAGCGUGGGGAGCAAACAGGG